UGGCCGCCCCGAGGGGUCGCGGUGAUCCCGGGCACCGCGGCCGAGAGCCGGCUGCGCCCUGGGCCCUUUUCCUACCCCAGGGGUCGGGAAGAGGCUGGAAGCGCCGCAGCACGCCGCGCCGUGCCGUGCCGUGCCCAGCCGGGGUGUCGUGCUGGAUGCGACGGGCCGGGGACGGCGGGGUCGGCUGGCGAGGAGGGCUGUGCUGCACAGCACGUGGUGCUUUGCAGCCGAAGGACGUGAACGGACUGAGAGGAGUGCUCGAGAGGCAUCGCCCGCUGAGCGCCUCCAGUGCUGCCCAGCCCAGCCCCAGCAGCACCCUGUGCUGAGGCUCCAAAGUGGGACACAGUGAAAACAGAAUAUAUGAUUUGAUGAUGGAAAUUCAUCCGCUGACCCAGCCCGACUCCUGCCUGCAGUUCGCGGUGGUUGUUGUGGGCAGUGUGAUUUGGAGAACACACUGUGCUGCUGACAACGGGAGCAAUUGCACGCCCUCGUGUUCUCACCUGGCUCCCUCCCAUCACAAGUUCUGUUCCUGGGUGUCCCCAGGGCGUGCUUACACCAGUAAGGAAAUCCCAUUAGCCUCUACAGAAAGCAGAAUUAAGUCCUGGCUAUUUCCAGACCCUUUGGGGUUCAGGACGUGACACCCUGUGAGCACAGGACACGUCACCUGCACCUCACCUGCAGCCGCCAUUCUGCCCCAUCCUUGGGCUCACAGCCCUUCCCAUCUGCUCUGAAAUAAUCAAAUUUGGGGCUCUAUUUGAGGGACCGUGACAGCAUCCCUAAGCAAGCAGUCCCCUGCUGAGGCCCACAGGGCCCUCCCUUCGUGGACUGCAGACAGCUCAGCCCUGGACCUCAUGGAGCGGCCAUCAUCACCCACAGCAUGCUGGCAGGGCCUGCGACCUCAGACACGGGUCUGUAAAGCCCCAGAGGAGACAUGUGUGACUGUUACGUGCUUACCUUAGAAUGAACGUUAGCUGGAAUCAGGAAGAGCACCACGCAAAUGAAGCUGCCUGCUUCCAGUGCCUGUACUAGGCAACAGCAGCAAACAAAAGAAAGCAAUGAGGAAAUUAAAGGAAUAACAAGUUCAGCUGGCUUCCACCGCACACCGGUGGGGAGGUGAGCAGAAUCCUGCCUGGCUGCAGCUCCCCAGGGGCCAGUGUCCAUCUCCUGGCCUGUGGCCUGCAGGAAGGCUCAUGACCAGCAAGGAGCAACUGCUUGGGAUCUGGGGCUGCUCACCUGUGGUGCACAGCAGUGAUUUUAGGGACUCUGUGAAGCAGCCCUGAAGCUGGAAACUGAAGGACAGGCUUUCCUUGGAUGUGGUUGUUUGAGGGAAUUCCCCUGCCCUCAGGAGCCUGGGCCAGGGCUUUAUCAGAUGAAGUACGAGAUUGCCAUUGUAAAUUUUCCUGUGGGAUUAUUUGGGAUUAUUAAGUAGUUUCCUGGGUUUUGCUGCUGUGGAUGAUUGAUAGCAGAGGAGAUGCGGGGAGCUUCCAGGAACUGGGAAUUUCAUGGUCGGGCCCCAAAGCUGUCAUCCUUUGGGCAGGAGAAAGGUUUCCUGACAGCUGUCUCCCAUCACAGUCCCAGUGACUUGCUGCCUGCUCAAGUUCUGUGGCUUCUGUUGCUUCAGAGUCAACAGCUCAAAGGUGCUCCCAAUCUCUCCCCCAGUUAAGGAGGGAGAAAGGUGCUUUAUACGCCACUCACCAUCAGCCAGGCCCCUGAGCAUCCCUUACCUGUGUCUCGGGCGGGCUCUGCUCGCCAUGCGCCUGGAGCUGGAGCUGAGCCAUGAGCCAGGACCAGCCCUGUGCUCAGGCAGCAGAGCAGCCCCACAGAUCCGCGCUGCGCCACUUUGUGCGGAGCUCCUCUCAGGUGUGUUUGCUCUUACAGACUUCUCACAGACUGAUGUCACUUCCAGGCACUCCUGGUGGCUCUGCUCUGUCCCACUGAGCACCCGUUGUGAUGGGCUUUGCUGCCAUGUGAGCUUCUCUUGCUAUGCUUCACCCGAAAAACUCAUUUCCAUGGCUGCACUUCGCUCCUGGCAGCUGCUUUGCUGCCCCGCAGACCCUUUAGGUCUCCGCAGGUUGUUCUCAGGGCUUGCCCAGCUGCAACUCUUCCCCUUCUCCGCACACUGUGAAGCCAGCCAGGCCCUUGCCUUAAGGUUUUUCCAUAUACUUUUACCCUGAAAUUUGAAAUCCUAGAAAAGAGGGAACCUUAGGGAGCAGCUAAGGGCCAGCUUCAGGCCAACUUCUCCUAGGAACCACAGUGCUGACACUCUAGUCCCUCAGGGAAUGUUUUCCCAGCAUCUGCUUUGAAUUUCUCCACGAUAAUUUAAGCCUGUUUCCCCUUGUUUUAUUCAGCAUGGGCAGAUUAAUCCCUUCCUCUUUGCAGGAGCCAUUUGCAUUCCUGCAGACGGCUGCUCCAGCCUCCUCUGCUCUCUCCUACCAAUUAAGCAGUCCCACAUCUCGCCGUUUUUCCUUGCCGGUCAUGUUUUCCAGGUCUCUGACAUCCUCCUUGGACUCUCUCCAAGCAGCCCAAAGGGCAGCGUCCAGGCAUCUCUGCCUCCCCCCGCUGCUCCCCGUGCCUCCAGCGCCCGCCAGCAUCCUCUGCUCUGCGUGAUUCUGCAGAACCGCAGCUCCUUUCCCCCAUAUUCAUCUCUUCCUUCUUUCUCCCCAUUUCUUGUUUAUGCAAUUGCCUCUUUGUGCUGAAGUGCCAACGGCAUUUAUCUGUACCACACAGCAUCCUCAUCCCUGAGACCAUUUCUCUGACAUGUCAGCAGUGGAGGCGUGGAGGCUUGCAAUGAAGAGCCUUCUUUCCAACAUGCUUCCCAUCCUCCCUGCCUUCAUAUUUUGUCUGCAGAUUUAAAAGCCAGUCCUGCAUCCUUUUAUCUCACCUGCUGGUAGCCGAAGCCUGGCAGCUUCUAUCUGAGCUGGGAACGGCGCUUGUUUUAUAGCAGGUUUAGGCAGAAUGUGAUCUGUAACUUGUUUAGGAGCCUGUUUUAUGAACGAUGUCGAAAGCCUUACAAGCAUCAAGAUUUAUACUGCCAUUCCAGUCUGUCACAGCAGCAGAUGCCCUUGGUGUGCCACAGCCUGGCCUUUAGCAGCCAUACCAGCAUACAGGGGGCUGUGAUUGGCCACGAACUCAGGGUUUCUCUCACGAGAUCUGUGCUCUGGACCUUUCACUUGCUGUCCCAUCUCACACUGACACCUCAGGCAGGGAGAUCUCCAUCCCCACUGCAUCCUGGCUUUGGCUGAGCCUGCCCAUGGCUCCGGCACAGCCCCUUCCAUGUGCUCUGUAGCUGUGUGGUUGCACAGCAGCCAGGUUCUCCCUGGAGUGCGGAACAAAUGUCUGCAUCCUUAAUAUACAAAGCAACACAUUCCUCCUUAAUCCUUUG